rnacentral:rRNA from 1 species
CGCGGCCUAUCAGCUUGUUGGUGAGGUAAUGGCUUACCAAGGCGACGAUGGGUAGCUGGUCUGAGAGGAUGGUCAGCCACAUUGGGACUGAGACACUGCCCAAACUCCUACGGGAGGCUGCAGUCGAGAAUAUUUCGCAAUGGGGGGAACCCUGACGAUGCGACGCCGCGUGGGGGAUGAAGGCCUUCGGGUCGUAAACCUCUGUGUUACGGGAUGAAUUGAGCGUUGCUGAUAACGCAGCGUUUUUGACGUUACCGUAGUAGAAAGCCCCAGCUAACUACGUGCCAGCAGCUGCGGUAAUACGUAGGGGGCAAGCGUUGUCCGGAAUCACUGGGCGUAAAGCGCGCGCAGGCGGUGGAGUAAGUCAGACGUGAAAGGGUUCGGCUCAACCGAACCACUGCGUUUGAUACUGCCUCACUUGAGUCUAGAAGAGGAAAGUGGAAUGUAUGGUGUAGCGGUGGAAUGCUUAGAUAUCAUAUAGAACACCUGUGGCGAAGGCGGCUUUCUGGUCUAAGACUGACGCUCAUGCGCGAAAGUUUGGGGAGCAACCGGGAUUAGAUACCCCGCUAGUCCUUACUGUAAACGAUGGGUACUAAGUGUAGGGGGGUGUUGAUUCCCUCUGUGCUGUAGCUAACGCAUUAAGUACCCCGCCUGGGGAGUACGG